ensembl:lncRNA
UAAAGACAGUCACAACCAGAACCUAUAUUAACAAAAAAAGUUAUUGAAAUUGUCCUGUAUGAAGACAGCCUAAUCAAAUUCCCCAAGACUGAUUUUUUUUUUUUAUGAAUGGCAAAGCAUAAAUAGCCCCUGUUUUGGUUUAUAAAGCAUACAGUUGAUAAUCCAUGGAGAUUCCUCUAAAGCCGGGCUCCAUAUUCACAUGAGAUCACAUAAAUGUUUAAACAGUCUCGGCCAGCCGUCCUCUUCCCCCUCUCUCUCUCUCUCUCUGUGUGUCUGUCCCUCCGUCCGUCCACUCCCUGAAAAAAAGAAAAACGUGCUCCUCCUCUGAUCCACUCUUCCGCUCGAUUAAUUCACAAAGUCACCGGCGGCAGCUCCUCUCCAUCUAUCCUCUCCUCCGUUUGGCUGCCUCCUCUUCUCUUGACUUGCCUCCUCCCUCCCUAUCGUUCUCUCUCCCUCUCACAGCAGAUGGUGAAAUGGCAGUGCUGGCAGGAUGGACAAUGGCACUCCUUCAUUGUGCUCCUCUUCUCCCCUCACGUCUCUCUCGCUCUCCCUCAUGUCCACUUUCCGUUCACCUCUGUCUGUUCGAGGGGCGGGCACGCUGUCUGCCCUCCCCUCCUUCCCGUCUGGGUGGGAGAUGCUGCCUCCCAGUUUCUCUCUUACCGUCUCUCGCUCUCACCCUCUCUCUCUCUCAGCCUCUGCCCUCCCCACCUCCUAUCUACCUCCUUCCUGACAGUUCAUCGCCAGGCGAACACAAACAAGCGGGUGAAUCUGCGGCGGCGACGGUGCUGACGUUUCAGCGCAUCUGAUGCGAAAGCAGCGUAACGGAAAGGAGGAGGAAACCACCCGUAGAGCGACACGGGAACACGGCAGAGUAGAUAUAAAGAGAGUCCUCAGCUGACACCCCGACGCGCAGUCACUGCAGUACUCGGUUUGACCACCGCGGCGUCGCACGCAGGGCUGCGUGUUAAGGACAAAAAUGAGAGAACUGCAGAGAGCGAAGACAACCCCCUCCAACACUGGAGCUCAUCACACACUGGGGCUUGUAUUUUUAGAAAAAUAAUCUGCGGAUUAUUAUGUACAUCCUAAUAAAACUGAAUAGUAAUUACACCUUGCAGAUGAUACACAUCGCUUUCUUUUUUUUUUUCAUGCAAUAAAAUUCAGCAGCACCAGAAACAGAAGUUUAAUCAAAAGGCCAUUCCACAAAUUCCAUCAGAAAACUGAACAUCUGAUAAUUUAUUAUAAACACAUGUAUUCAUUGGAAGACCGAGUGUAACUGUAACUCACGCAAACCAUAAAACAUUUAAAUACACGCAGCAGCGGCACGAUCGUACACGGCGACUUCAGUUUUCAUUUUCACAUUAUUGCAGCACACUGGACAUAUUUUUCUUUUAGGCCGCUGCAGGGGGAAAACGUCAAAUUAAAUAUGGUCUGUUUUCUGAAAUCAUCUACAGGGAUGAACAAAUAUAAUGUAUCAAACUGUAUGUUACCUUGACUACAUGCUGGGCUUUGUUCAUAAACCGAUGAAUAACAUUACGGUUUUCUGCCGUUGCUGAGAAACCAAUCUUUAUGAGUCACACCGAGCUCCAUCUUUUCAUCACCAACUACACAAUUCAAUAAAGUUGAAUUCAGAUUAAUUGAAUGACAGGUAUGUAGGACACGUCCUCCGGCAGGGUUUAUUCUUGAUAUAGUGAAAAUGAAUAACUCUUAAAACUGCGGUCACCUUUAUCUCUAAAAAAAUAUUUUAGAGCAUUUCUGCAGUAAUCUCCUAGACCUGAAUGCACAUGUCAUAACGCACUAUUAAAACCAACUCAUUUACAUUUUACACAUGAGUUAUGAGCCCUCUGCCACUGUGCUUUAGAUAAGCACGUUGCAUCAUUUGAAUGUCUUACCGUAUAAUCCAUCGUCCAAAACACAAGCUUCCUGUGAGUCUGUAAACACACCAGACUGCACGUCAGCACACUGCACAUACAAAGACCGCAGGCCCCUCAGCAGAUCCUUGACUCCCAGCAUGCUUUGCUCCAGCCGUGCAUUAGCUCAACGCGACCACCUGUAUACAUAAACAACCCCGUUG